rnacentral:lncRNA from 1 species
ACUUAUUUAUUUUUUCUUGGGGAAUUUCGAUAAGGCGGUGCAGGUCGUUGAGGUGAUAUGUGAGUUGGAUAGGCUGGCAUGUAAUUGGUUUGGCAGCGCCUCGUGGUCUGAUCUCCGUUCUUGUUUGCUUCAAGUACGCAUCGUUGUGCUGGUAUUUGCAUUCCAGAAGUGGGUUUCUUGCUUCAUGAGAUUUUGCUUAGUUUCUACUCCCUCCGUUCCUAAAUAUUUGUCUUUUUAGGAUUUUAAAUAGACUACCACAUACGGAUGUAUAUAGACAUAUUUUAGAAUGUAGAUUCACUCAUUUUACUCCGUAUGUAGUUACUUAUUGAAAUCUCUAGAAAGACAAAUAUUUAGGAACGGAGGGAGUAUUUUUGUAUUUCAGAGUGACGUAGCGGAGACAAUUAAUCACUCUGGGAUGAUCGUGAACCCUGAGGGUCGUUAACUGUUGUUACAUAAGAUACAUUGAUCUUUCACGUUAAGUCUUGCACAUAAAAAAAUCCAGGCGGCAAUUUCACGUAUAUGAUUGUUCAGAUGACGAGACAAACAAUUUCGUGAAUUAGACAUUUGCACGUAUAAACAAUACCAGCAAAGUCAAUAUCCUUGGUUUCGGUGUUAUUUCUUCAUUUUAGAACCUUGACCAUAUAUUCCACCAGAUGCAUUACUUUGUUUCCCGGAAACUCUACUCUUAGCUAUUGGUUGUUGAGACACCAGCUUCAUUAGCUUUCUUUACCAAAGACUGUUUUUGUUUCAUAUUCAUGCAUAAACUUCUCUUAGUGUAUUUUUUUAAUUCUCUUAGUAUAUAUAUAUGAUAUAUCCCCUUGAAAUGAAAUUUGACUAAUUAUAUUUUUUCAAAAUACUCAGACUUCUUGUACUAAAAUGUUUCUGUUGUAUUAAUUACCUUGUUACUCAAAUUCCAUGAUGUUGUACUAAUUUUUGCCUUGUUAACUAUUCAGUAGGAAGGAGGGGCUCGGUGUUGAAAAAAGAACAGAGAGAAUUGUGCUGAUCAGGAGAAGUUAACUCAAAAUCCAAGAUGUGACCUUCACAUAGCUCACAAACUUAACCACUAUUUGAUUCUUGGUAACAUUGUACGGGACACAUAACAUCCAGUUGUAUAACUGUAUAAGUAGGGUGUACUUGAUACCUAUGUUGUUCUUUGUUAACUUGUUCGCUGAAUAUUUUUCUUGCGGGAUAAGCAUCCGAUCUAUUCAUCAUCUUUCAAGACAGUACAAAUAAAAAAUUACAACCAGAUCCGUAGACCACCUAGCAAUGACUUGCUCACUGAAUUAAUUUGUUUAAAU